rnacentral:rRNA from 1 species
UAUUAUGAGAGUUUGAUCCUGGCUCAGGACGAACGCUGGCGGCGUGCCUAAUACAUGCAAGUCGUACGCUUCUUUUUCCACCGGAGCUUGCUCCACCGGAAAAAGAAGAGUGGCGAACGGGUGAGUAACACGUGGGUAACCUGCCCAUCAGAAGGGGAUAACACUUGGAAACAGGUGCUAAUACCGUAUAACAAUCGAAACCGCAUGGUUUUGAUUUGAAAGGCGCUUUCGGGUGUCGCUGAUGGAUGGACCCGCGGUGCAUUAGCUAGUUGGUGAGGUAACGGCUCACCAAGGCCACGAUGCAUAGCCGACCUGAGAGGGUGAUCGGCCACAUUGGGACUGAGACACGGCCCAAACUCCUACGGGAGGCAGCAGUAGGGAAUCUUCGGCAAUGGACGAAAGUCUGACCGAGCAACGCCGCGUGAGUGAAGAAGGUUUUCGGAUCGUAAAACUCUGUUGUUAGAGAAGAACAAGGAUGAGAGUAACUGUUCAUCCCUUGACGGUAUCUAACCAGAAAGCCACGGCUAACUACGUGCCAGCAGCCGCGGUAAUACGUAGGUGGCAAGCGUUGUCCGGAUUUAUUGGGCGUAAAGCGAGCGCAGGCGGUUUCUUAAGUCUGAUGUGAAAGCCCCCGGCUCAACCGGGGAGGGUCAUUGGAAACUGGGAGACUUGAGUGCAGAAGAGGAGAGUGGAAUUCCAUGUGUAGCGGUGAAAUGCGUAGAUAUAUGGAGGAACACCAGUGGCGAAGGCGGCUCUCUGGUCUGUAACUGACGCUGAGGCUCGAAAGCGUGGGGAGCAAACAGGAUUAGAUACCCUGGUAGUCCACGCCGUAAACGAUGAGUGCUAAGUGUUGGAGGGUUUCCGCCCUUCAGUGCUGCAGCUAACGCAUUAAGCACUCCGCCUGGGGAGUACGACCGCAAGGUUGAAACUCAAAGGAAUUGACGGGGGCCCGCACAAGCGGUGGAGCAUGUGGUUUAAUUCGAAGCAACGCGAAGAACCUUACCAGGUCUUGACAUCCUUUGACCACUCUAGAGAUAGAGCUUCCCCUUCGGGGGCAAAGUGACAGGUGGUGCAUGGUUGUCGUCAGCUCGUGUCGUGAGAUGUUGGGUUAAGUCCCGCAACGAGCGCAACCCUUAUUGUUAGUUGCCAUCAUUUAGUUGGGCACUCUAGCAAGACUGCCGGUGACAAACCGGAGGAAGGUGGGGAUGACGUCAAAUCAUCAUGCCCCUUAUGACCUGGGCUACACACGUGCUACAAUGGGAAGUACAACGAGUCGCGAAGUCGCGAGGCUAAGCUAAUCUCUUAAAGCUUCUCUCAGUUCGGAUUGUAGGCUGCAACUCGCCUACAUGAAGCCGGAAUCGCUAGUAAUCGCGGAUCAGCACGCCGCGGUGAAUACGUUCCCGGGCCUUGUACACACCGCCCGUCACACCACGAGAGUUUGUAACACCCGAAGUCGGUGAGGUAACCUUUUUGGAGCCAGCCGCCUAAGGUGGGAUAGAUGAUUGGGGUGAAGUCGUAACAAGGUAGCCGUAUCGGAAGGUGCGGCUGGAUCACCUCCUUU